AAACAGGAUUAAACCAGGACUAAACCAGGACUAAACCAGGACUAAACCAGGACUAAACCAGGACUAAACCAGGACUAAACAAGGUCUAAACCAGGACUAAACCAGGACUAAACCAGGACUAAAACAGGACUAAACCAGGUCUAAACCAGGACUAAACCAGGACUAAACCAGGACUGAACCAGGACUAAACCGGGUCUAAACCAGGACUAAACCAGGUCUAAACCAGGACUAAACCAGGACUAAACCAGGUCUAAACCAGGACUAAACCAGGACUAAAACAGGUCUAAACCAGGACUAAACCAGGACUAAACCAGGUCUAAACCAGGACUAAACCAGGACUAAACCGGGUCUAAACCAGGACUAAACUGGUUCUAAACCAGGACUAAACCAGGACUAAACCAGGACUAAACCAGGACUAAACCAGGACUAAACCAGGUCUAAACCAGGACUAAACCAGGACUAAACCAGGACUAAACCGGGUCUAAACCAGGACUAAACUGGGACUAAACCAGGACUAAACCAGGUCUAAACCAGGACUAAACCAGGACUAAACCAGGACUAAACCAGGACUAAACCAGGACUAAACCAGGUCUAAACAAGGACUAAACCAGGACUAAACCAGG
ensembl:lncRNA